rnacentral:rRNA from 1 species
GACGAACGCUGGCGGCGUGCCUAAUACAUGCAAGUCGAACGCUUCUUUCCUCCCGAGUGCUUGCACUCGAUUGGAAAGGGGGGUGGCGGACGGGUGAGUAACACGUGGGUAACCUACCCAUCAGAGGGGGAUAACACUUGGAAACAGGUGCUAAUACCGCAUAACAGUUUAUGCCGCAUGGCAUAAGAGUGAAAGGCGCUUUCGGGUGUCGCUGAUGGCUGGACCCGCGGUGCAUUAGCUAGUUGGUGAGGUAACGGCUCACCAAGGCCACGAUGCAUAGCCGACCUGAGAGGGUGAUCGGCCACACUGGGACUGAGACACGGCCCAGACUCCUACGGGAGGCAGCAGUAGGGAAUCUUCGGCAAUGGACGAAAGUCUGACCGAGCAACGCCGCGUGAGUGAAGAAGGUCUUCGGAUCGUAAAACUCUGUUGUUAGAGAAGAACAAGGACGUUAGUAACUGAACGUCUCCUGACGGUACCUAACCAGAAAGCCACGGCUAACUACGUG